CACUGACCUCCAGGAGUCCCAUGUCCUCCUCUUCCGAGUCACCUGGAAAGCCAGACGGGCCGAUGACACAGCUAAGCCGCGGACCACAUGCCCUGGUCAGACCUCAGACCAGCCCUGGACACAGGGGAAGAGAAUCUGCCUGAAGAGCGCGGCAGCGGUCUGCACUGCAUUAAAAAAACAAUGCAAACCCAAGAAGGAAAAGUUCAACCCAAGUCUGACGAGGCUCCUGGGCUAGCGGGGGACAGAGGCCCAGCCCUCGACCCUCCUUGGCACCGGGAGAUGGGACCCCCUGCUGCUCAGCGCUUCUGAAACCCUGUGGCCACAGAAGAAAGGAGACUUUGCGCAUGACCGCCAUCCGCGUCUUCUCCAGCCCGUCCUUGGUCCCGCUCCUGGCGGCCUUCAUGAGCUGGGUCAUCUGAGCAAAGGCAGAGUGCCUCAUCAGAGAGGCCGGGGACCUGGACACCUGCCACCAAGGGCUGCCAGUCCCACUGGACCUCAGCCUGGCUGCAGACAUCAGGACCACCCGACCACCCAGUCCCGGGUGCCGGAUUAAGGGGUGCACACCCGUAAUUCCAGCUACUCGCGAGGCUAAGGUAAGAGGAUCGCACAUUCGAGGCCAGCCUCAGCGAUU